ensembl:lincRNA
GUCCGCUUCCUUGGGCCUCAGCACUGCUUCCUUCUAUCUGCAGACACUGGAGAAAGUAGAGCCAGCAAGGAUGAAUCCAAAGCAAAAGCAACUCCAUGAUGCCCAGAAAGUGAAAGGGGCUCAACAAACCUGCCUUGUGUGGAUGAACUGGAGCAGGAACCUCUGUUUCCAGAUGAGAGAGUUUAUUUUGAGAAAGUCUGGGCCAUUCAACUGCCAGCAGACCGGCAACCUACUCAGAAUCCCAGUUAGCCAAAAGAGAGCUGUUUCUGAGAAUUCCUUUCUCUCUCAGAAGACAAGAAGCACUACCAUCCUGGAUGAUCCUUCUCAUAUUACCAGCAUCCCACUUGUUCUCUAGAGGCACAGGCAGGCCUGCUUCUUUGCUCCCUGACUUGGGGUUAAAGGGUCUGUCAUUCCAAAAAACACAGAAGUUACAAGGUGUGUGGAUUUAUACCUCAUGCCUUCAGCCUGGAGGUCAGAGGACUCCAAGUACUGUACUGAGAGAUUAAACAGAUAUUCUCUUCAAGAUAACCAUGGGUAGCAUUUGCUCUAAAGAGAAAUGAUGCUGGCUUACAAGUUUUGUGGAAGCACUGGAGGAGUAUGAAACAUUUGGGUGACUGAAGCAGAAAGAGUUAUAGUUAUGGAUCGAACCAUCCUUCCUAAUUGCAGAACAGUUUCCUCCUGGGCAGGAGACUCAGGUAAAUCCAUUAUAAGAAGGUAGGGUGCAUCCUAGGGACGUUUUACAAGUUUAAUUACCAGCAAGUUUAAUAGAGAGCUCUCACCCAGUGCCCUGACAAGUGAUAAAGUAACUGGUCCAGUAUCAGUCACAUUCUAUUUUCUGUAGGAUUGGGCAGUUUGAUUGCCAACAAGUGAGAACCGCCAAGAAACUGGCUCCUUUCCCUGGCUGAGGGAUCUAAGGCAGGGUAAACAUUUGCACAACUACAAAAGCACAGCCCUGAAAUUUUUUUGUGGAAAGUUAUUCUGGAGAGUGGACAGGAGUAUGUUCUUUGGCAUAAGUAACGUUUUGCUGGAAGCAUUGUUUAUCCUGCACGGGUCCCAUGCAGCCUUGGUAGGACUGGGAGUAAGGAACAGAAUGCUAAAAUCUGUGUAGCUGAGGUUUAACUAGAGGUGUCAUGGAGUACAACUCUGAUAUCUCCGGGCUCAAAAAACUAAACUGAGAUCAUUCUCAUUUAUGUCCAGUCUGGGUCCCAAAAAUCUCCCUAGCAGGUUGGAUGGGAUGAGAACCAGGAGAAGCCAGAAUAUUCGUUCCAUAUCAAUAUGUCCCUUAACUCUUAGACAGCUCCAGGCGAAUACAGGGGGUUGGGAUGGACCAUUUUUAUUGGUCCAAAGUCCACAUUAACUAAUGCUUAUUGGAUGGUGAAUUAUAACAGAAACUGUUAAUGUGUGGGAGAGCCACAUGAAUAUCAAACAAAUUCAUUAUGAUUGGUGCUAUUACAGUGAAUACCAAAUGAGUUCAUAAUGAUGGAACAAUGAAAGUGUUACCGAUAGAUUUUAUUUCUGUAACAAAUCCUCCAUGUAAAAGCCCCUCCUGUAGUGUUAAUUCUAAUAUAAGUUUGCAUUUGAAUAUUAGCCUCAUCAAGUAAAUUAUGUCUUUCAAUAGCGCACAUCACAAUGCCCAGGGUUGUGUUUUGUGUUGUUUGGCUCUCUGGACACUAGAAUAAGCCCCCUCACCCCACAGUUUCCAAUCUGCCCAUGGAGUUUGAUGACUAUUCCGAAGGGGUCGGUCACAUUUUCCUUUGAGUGGCCAAUCAUUAGAAAUCCAUUUAGUAUUCAAUGUAAUAGCACUAAUGCAAUAGGACAGGAUGAGUAUGAAAUUCAUCUUGCAUUCAUGUGGCUGUGGUAUGUACUUCUGAAAGAGUUCCGCUCUAUUUCAGCAUGAGUGUAGACCCAGUUAAUGGAUCCUUUAAAAAUAAAACACAAC